CCUGGGCUUCCUCACUUCCUGGUGUGAGCUGUGGGAGCCGUGCGAGCUGUGUUUGCCUGCUGGGCUGCGUCUGGGAUCAUUUCCCCCUGAAUCUGGGUGUCAACUUGCUGCUAGAGGAGUGGCUGUUGUGAAGCCACAGACUCCCCACCUCUCCUACUGGGUGAUCAGUUUGGAUGCUUUUGGCCAGGAGCGGCCAGUUAAGCUGCAGUGGAACCUACCAGCUGUUUUGUCCUUCCGGGUUGCUGCCACGACCAGCGUUGGCACAUGAAAUCACGCCUGGUCUGCCUCUGCUCCGUGGAGUCGGCCGCCUGCACUCCAAUCUACUGGCUGACCUCCUGAACACAGCUUGAACGCUCGUGGAACGCCAGGCGGAAGACGGAAGCAAUCUUUUUGGUUUAUCAUCUUUUCUUUUGAUUAAGUAUAUUUGGGUUAGGUGUUGGUGUAUUUUGUUGUUCUUUUGGUUAUUGUUUCUUUAUUUAAUUGUGUGUUCAUUCUUUGUUAUUUUCCAGUUACCUUUGUUUUUGUUUGGGUGUGGCAGUUACCGGUUUGCAUUUAUUUAUUUUACUUGUGAGUUGUGGCUGCCCGCCCACUUGUGUUUAGUUCAUUCAGGUAUUUCUUUUUUUGUUUGAAUGCAUGAAUGUGAGGGAAAACCCCUUUUUAACUCCCCUUGUCUUUUCCCUCCCUUCCAGAAGCUGAGCACGACGGUGGCGGCAUCGGUGUCCCUGGUGGCGGGUCUCCUUCCCGUGUGGUGUGCUGCGCACCCCUUUUUUUGAGUGUGUUCACCUUUAUUUCAGCGAGUGAGAGUGUCCACGUGUGUCUGGGGCGAUCCUUCAGAGGCCUUCAUUCCCCCUACUACCCGUGUCCCCCCGGGGAGGACUGCUGACACUACCGCCAUCUCUGGUGAGGAGGGCAGCACUGAGACGCAGCGCGCAGCAGAGUGGUGGCACCGAGGCGGAGCGGCGGCUCAUGAGUGGCCGAGCACUCCCCGCCCCAGACAACCACGUCGUCGCCCAGCAGCCGCCCUCGCCCCGUCCUCUCUUUUCCCCCACAUCUCUCCUGGUUGGGGACAGUAGCAUCAGGAAUUCGCUUUUUAACGCCAUCACGCGGUGUA